UGUAUACCAACCACUGGAAUGUUAUUAAUACGUUUUCUAAGAGUCGAGUUGUUUGGGAAUGCAGCUCUAAAUGGGUGGUAAAUUUCACCUAAUGCUAAAUAUAAGCGAGAGACCGAUAGUGAAUAAGUACCGUGAGGGAAAGAUGAAAAGAACUUUGAAAAGAGAGUUAAAUAGUACGUGAAAUUGUUGAAAGGGAAACGGUUGUAGUCAGUCAUGCCGGCGGGAAUCAACUUAGGGGAAACUUUAAGUGCACUUCUUCGCUUGGCAGGUUAGCGUCGAUUUUGGAUGUCAUAAAAUGACUGGGGGAAGGUAGCUCCUUUGGGAGUGUUAAGCCCUUAGUAGAUGUGAUGUUCGGGAUCGAGGAUUGCAACGGAUACCCUUUGGGCUAGCCACCUGGUCUCUAAUAUGAAGUUGGGUUAUAGAUAGCAUGCUAACUAUGAUCUAAUUUUCGGUUAAAAGAUUAGAGUGAGUGUAAAUU
rnacentral:rRNA from 1 species